ensembl:miRNA
GAGCAGGCGAGGCUGGGCUGAACCCGUGGGUGAGAAGUACAGCCCAGCUGAGGUCUCUGC